rnacentral:rRNA from 1 species
UAACGCGUGAGGAACCUGCCUCAAAGAGGGGGACAACAGUUGGAAGCGACUGCUAAUACCACAUAAGCCCACAGCUCGGCAUCGAGCAGAGGGAAAAGGAGUGAUCCGCUUUGAGAUGGCCUCGCGUCCGAUUAGCUAGUUGGUGAGGUAAUGGCCCACCAAGGCGACGAUCGGUAGCCGGACUGAGAGGUUGAACGGCCACAUUGGGACUGAGACACGGCCCAG